CUGCUGCCUUCCGUAGGAGUUUGGGCCGUGUCUCAGUCCCAAUGUGGCCGUCCACCCUCUCAGGCCGGCUACUGAUCGUCGCCUUGGUGGGCCGUUACCCCGCCAACAAGCUAAUCAGACGCGGGUCCAUCUUACACCACCGGAGUUUUUCACACAAAUCCAUGCGGCUUCGUGCGCUUAUGCGGUAUUAGCACCUAUUUCUAAGUGUUAUCCCCCAGUGUAAGGCAGGUUACCCACGCGUUACUCACCCGUCCGCCACUAAG
rnacentral:rRNA from 1 species